rnacentral:rRNA from 1 species
GACGAACGCUGGCGGCGUGCUUAACACAUGCAAGUCGAACGAAGUGGCGAACGGGUGAGUAACGCGUAAUCAACCUGCCCUUCAGAGGGGGACAACAGUUGGAAACGACUGCUAAUACCGCAUACUGAAGGAGGGGAUUGCGUCUGAUUAGCUCGUUGGGGGGGUAACGGCCCACCAAGGCGAUGAUCAGGAGCCGGGCUGAGAAGAUGAACGGCCACAUUUGGACUGGGAAACGGCCCAGACUCCUACGGGAGGCAGCAGUUGGGAAUCUUCCGCAAUGGAGGAAAGUCUGACUGAGCAACGCCGCGUGAGUGAUAACGGCCUUCGGGUUUUAAAGCUCUGUUAAUCGGGACGCGUUACCGGAAUAGAAAGCAACGGCUAACUACGUGCCAGCCGCCGCGGUAAUUC